rnacentral:rRNA from 1 species
AUACGGAGGGUCCGAGCGUUAUCCGGAAUCAUUGGGUUUAAAGGGUCCGUAGGCGGGAAUCUAAGUCAGUGGUGAAAUCUUGCAGCUCAACUGUAAAAUUGCCAUUGAUACUGGAUUUCUUGAAUUAGUGUGAAGUGGUUAGAAUGUGUAGUGUAGCGGUGAAAUGCAUAGAUAUUACACAGAAUACCAAUUGCGAAGGCAGAUCACUAACACUAUAUUGACGCUGAGGGACGAAAGCGUGGGGAGCGAACAGGAUUAGAUACACCAGUAGUCC